CUGCCGCGCGCUCCUUAAAAUAAAUCCCCCCCCCCCCCUUUUUAUAAGUUUUUUUUUGUGUUUUUUAUAAAGAGGAGGAGGGGGGGAAAAAGGGGGUUUUUUGGGGGAAAGGGUUUGGGGGGGGGGUGUUUUUGAUUGGGGGGGGGGUUUUCCCCCCCAAAGGGUAAAGGGGGGGAGCCCAAAAGGUUUUUUAAUUUCCCGUUUGGGAAAUUUGGGGAGUUUUGUUCAAAGGUGUUAAGCAAAUUUUAAUUUCGAGGCCGAACAAGUUGGGCCGGGUAUGAAAGGUAGGUUAUAAUGGUUCCGGUGGUUUUUAAAUGGAAGGGCCCUUCCUUUAAAGGAUAAAAGGUAUUCCGGGGAUAACAAGGCUGAUUCCGCCCCAAGAAGUUCAUAUUGGAUGGCGGUGUUUGGCACCUGGAUGUCGGCUCAUCACAUCCUGGGGCUGAAGUAGGUCCCAAGGGUAUGGCUGUUCGCCAUUUAAAGUGGUACGCGAGCUGGGUUUAGAACGUCGUGAGACAGUUCGGUCCCUAUCUGCCGUGGGCGUAGGAGAAUUGGUUGGGGCUGCUCCUAGUACGAGAGGACCGGAGUGGACGCACCACUGGUGUUCCGGUUGUGUCGCCAGACGCAUUGCCGGGUAGCUAAGUGCGGAAGAGAUAAGUGCUGAAAGCAUCUAAGCACGAAACUUGCCAAGAGAUGAGUUCUCCCAAUCUAAGAGAUAGUAAGGGUUGUUGUAGACUACGACGUAGAUAGGUCUGGUGUGUAAGUGUAGUGAUGCAUUGAGCUAACAGAUACUAAUUGCCCGAGAGGCUUAACU
rnacentral:rRNA from 1 species